rnacentral:misc_RNA from 1 species
GGGGAAUUUUCCGCAAUGGGCGAAAGCCUGACGGAGCAAUACCGCGUGAGGGAGGAAGGCUCUUGGGUUGUAAACCUCUUUUCUCAGGGAAUAAUAAGUUGAAGGUACCUGAGGAAUCAGCAUCGGCUAACUCCGUGCCAGCAGCCGCGGUAAUACGGAGGAUGCAAGCGUUAUCCGGAAUGAUUGGGCGUAAAGCGUCCGCAGGUGGCUAUUCAAGUCUGCUGUCAAAGAGCGAGGCUUAACUUCGUAAAGGCAGUGGAAACUGGAUGGCUAGAGUACGGCAGGGGUCACAGGAAUUCUCAGUGUAGCGGUGAAAUGCGUAGAUAUUGGGAAGAACACCAGCGGCGAAAGCGUGUGACUGGGCUUGUACUGACACUCAUGGACGAAAGCCAGGGGAGCGAAAGGGAUUAGAUACCCCUGUAGUCCUGGCUGUAAACGAUGGGAACUAGGUGUUGGCCGUAUCGACCCGGUCAGUGCCGUAGCUAACGCGUUAAGUUCCCCGCCUGGGGAGUACGCACGCAAGUGUGAAACUCAAAGGAAUUGACGGGGGCCCGCACAAGCGGUGGAGUAUGUGGUUUAAUUCGAUGCAACGCGAAGAACCUUACCAGGGCUUGACAUACUCGGAACCUUGGUGAAAGCUAAGGGUGCCUUCGGGAGCCGAGAUACAGGUGGUGCAUGGCUGUCGUCAGCUCGUGUCGUGAGAUGUUGGGUUAAGUCCCGCAACGAGCGCAACCCUCGUCUUUAGUUGCCAUCAUUAGGUUGGGCACUUUAGAGAGACUGCCGGUGACAAACCGGAGGAAGGUGGGGAUGACGUCAAGUCAGCAUGCCCCUUACGCCCUGGGCUACACACGUACUACAAUGCUAUGGACAGAGGGUCGCAAGCAUGCGAAUGCAAGCCAAUCCCGUAAACCAUGGCUCAGUUCAGAUUGCAGGCUGCAACUCGCCUGCAUGAAGGCGGAAUCGCUAGUAAUCGCAGGUCAGCAUACUGCGGUGAAUACGUUCCCGGGCCUUGUACACACCGCCCGUCACACCAUGGGAGUUGGCCACGCCCGAAGUCGUUACUCCAACUGUUUACAGAGGGGGACGCCGAAGGCAGGGCUGAUGACUGGGGUGAAGUCGUAACAAGGUAGCCGUACCGGAAGGUGUGGCUGGAUCACCUCCUUUACAGGGAGACCUACCCUUUUGAAGAGUUAAGACUUUACAUUUCUUCGAAUUGGUCAUCCCAAGGUCGGUCGAGUUUAGUUGAAGGGCUUUCAAGUYACCUAGGUUUCGUUAGAUAAUACCGAAUCGAUGCCGGAGUACUUUCUUUUUUUGGCUCGGUUCGAUUGCUUGUUAUCAGCAACUGUAUUUUCUAAUUCGUGGGCUAUUAGCUCAGGUGGUUAGAGCGCACCCCUGAUAAGGGUGAGGUCCCUGGUUCGAGUCCAGGAUGGCCCACUUUGGGGGUUUAGCUCAGUUGGUAGAGCGCCUGCUUUGCAAGCAGGAUGUCAGCAGUUCGAGUCUGCUAACCUCCACUUAGCUUGGUCUCGGGAACUCAGGAGAUUUUAGCACCCUGCAAGCAACUUGAUGAGAGAGCAGGCUGCUGGAUUUCUCCAGUUGAACCUUGAAAACUGCAUAGCAACUUGUCAGGUAGAAAGUAAUCUGCAGGCAUUCAUUUUUGUUGAAUGUACUGCUAGUUCUUGCUAGCGUCAGCGUUUAAGCCUUUGUUUAUGGAAAUUCAUAUGCAAUGGCUUAUUACUGGUCAAGCUAUCAAGGGCUUACGGUGGAUACCUAGGCACACAGAG